GUUACCAUGGCGACGAGGGUGGGCAGCCAGACCGCAGCUCUAAAGAAUAGCAGUGCCCCCCACGCGAGCUUGGCCUCCCUAGGCAGCCUGUGCCAAUGCCUCACCACUCCUUCUGAGUUUUUUCUAAUAUCCAACCUGAACCUCCCCUGGUGCAACUUAAGGCUGUUAUCUCUCUUCCUGUCUAUCACUGUUACCUGGGAGAAGAGGCCAUUCCCAACCAUGAGGGAAAAAUGAUUAUGACUCAAUGAUUAUGUCACCAGCAGUAUGGUGACAGGGCUCUGUGCCCUCAGGAGACUGAAAGGUGCUUUCAGGGACCGUGCAGAAACCUCACUCAGUUGAACUAAACGUUCAGGGAUUGCAGGUGUACCCUGAGUGCUGCACAGCCUCUCUCAGAACGAUGGUGAGAGAGCUGGGUUGUAAAAGCUCAGGUGAAGCAGCCUGAGAGACAUCUCUAGAGUGACAGCCGUGAGGAUCUUGCUAGCUCUAUGUUACAACUGUUACAUGACAGGUCUAGAGACUAUCAAGAGGAUAUCAAAUGUUUAAUGAAUUUUACUAACAGGACCUUUGACUAGCAGGAAGAAGUAGAGAUUCCAGUGAAGGAAAAGAAGGUGCAAACAGUUAGUUUUUAGAGCACUUUUUUACUCAACCAAAGAGUGGAAUUUUCCAGCAAAGAACAAAGGAAAAAUAACUUAAGGAACGAUGAGAAGAUGUACAAAUUCCACAAGGUGCACUUUCUCUGAGACUGCUCCUGCGCUCUGGGAGCUAGGGCAAGGGAAACAUCAUUCUGCGUUUGAUAUAAAAUGCAGCCGCGUUUACCAGAAGGAAGGCCUUUUCCAGAGACGUACAGCAUUCCAGAGGCUAUCUGCGCACGGCUCGGGUAGGCAGCCUGGCAGCUGUGUGUUUCAGAGGGCUAUGUGCAGUUACUGCCUUGAUUCUCUAAGUGACCUAUUUGAGCAGAAAGGAGAACUGUUCUGAAUAAGGGCAGCUAUUUUGAACUUAGGAUGUUUUGGAGAGAGGGGGAAACAGUGAAGGAUAGAAUUAGGUCACAACUUCAGGAUGCCAAGAUUUUCCUCUUGAUUUGCUUAUUGCUUUUGUAAGGCAGGCUCUCACAUUUAGCCACACUGGAAGGAAUAAUCUUUUCUCUGCACACAUUAAACCAGAGUACAGAAGAAAUGUAAGUCAUCAAAAGUUCCAUUUUCUACAUUUCUGGGAGAAAGAACGGCUAAAAGGACAAACCAAUUUUCUCAGCUAUGUAAUUAGCACUUACUGUCAGGAGAUAAUAAACAAUCAAUUGAAGUCAGUUGAAGCAUUUCUCAAGAGCAGUUCAGAAUCCCACUGAAGUGACUGAAAUGCAGUGCAACACAAGCACUUCUGUGAUGAAGGUGGACUCGGGGCAGGAACAGCAAUGAGAUUGUUGAUGAUUAGAAGGAUAAGUAGGAUCACAGAGGCCACUUUUAACACUGUGGAGAUCAGUUCAGUCUAGACAACGCUCUGAGCCCACUGACUGCUCCCUUCGGAGAGCAAGCUUGAAAUAUUAAUCUCCUGUGCUAUUUAGAACUAGUAAAUGCAUCUAAGUUAGAAACUAGUCAAGUGUUAUCGUAUCAUACCCUCCAAUAAAACAUGUUGAGAAGUGCAGAAAAAUACAAUGAUUAAAAAUCAAUCUUAAUAACUGGAAGAAUAUAUUACAUUUGCCUGCAACCUCAGUGUGACUUACAGCUUGGCUUUCAGAGGCUCUGUGCACCCGCGUCUCCUAUUCUCUAUCAUAGCAAUUGUGUAUGCAGUUGGGCCCGGGCUAACAAAUAGCGAUCAGAAAUCUAGCCUACGUUGUAUAAAAUAAGCAAUUAGCAGUGACCUUGCGUUACUGAGUUACAGUACCUGUUACUCAGGAUCUUUUCUAUUAUAUCCCCCAUCAAAAUUGCUAUGGAUUUUUUAGCGCAUAUCUAAAUAUAUUGAGGAUAAGGCCCACUUUCCAGAAGCAGUUAAAACAAGCUGUUCUUCCUUCCUUUUCAGGGGAUAACAUAAAUUCACAACCAUGCCACUGUCUUCUUUUGGCAGUUUGGAGAUGUAAGAAAUGUUGCCAUCAGGUUUUCCAAAUUUAAUUCAAUCCCUUGUUAAAUUAAGCUCUGCUAUAAUUCAGUCGCAGCCUGAAGACCUAAAUCGUUCAUAUUAAAGGUAACACAAUGGCCACCCUUUCUUUUAAUCAAUGUUUACUGCUUUAGGCAGGUAUUACCAGAUAAUCUGAUUACAAAACCACAACGAACUAGCAUUUAGUUAAUAACCAAUGAGAAAAAUUUGAAAAAGAAUCAAAGGAGAAAAGGAAAAGAAAGCCUUACAAAGACAAGCAACAUGAGAGGAAAUAUUAUGGAAAGUUAGUUUUGCCAGUGAGUGCUACUGGCACAAGCCUCAAAGAUCCGCAGCCAUGGGUGACAGGUUCAGCCCAGCAGGGAGAGAGGAUUGACAGAACUCCAAGAAGAGUGAGGUCUAUGGUAAAUUUAACAUCAUUUCCUCUUAGACUUAUUUAAACUUACUAAUAAGAUUUAUAGUUUAGAUGCUUAGCAGUAUAAGCUGGCGUAACUCCACUGAACUCUGGCUGCAUCGUUUCCAGCCUGCUCUUUCUGUAAAUGCAGGCAGAAACCUGCCUGCCUGGUAGCCCUUUUGUGGGAAAGUGACUCUUCUUGUCCAGUGUGUUCUGGGGCUUGUGAGCUACCAGAUUUUUGCCUCUGUGUGUGAAGCUGCUUCUUUGUUCAGCUGGUAGGAAAAUCAAAGCACUUGCUUUGUUCAUGGGAUGUUCCAUGUAUCUGCUACAUCUGUGAUUCAGCUUUGUAAAAGUUCUCCUCUAUUUGAGGACACACCUGGAUGGAUGAGGGCAGCCUGCCUUGGGACAGCAGGUUCUGCUAAGGCUGAGAGGAUGAAUUUCUGGCAAUGUCGUGGCACAGAGCGCACUGAGUAACGUGGAGCAGCACUGCAGCUGCUUCCUACCAGCUUACGGGGGAGUCACCAGUCAGGCUUACUGGCCAGUUCUCUGAUCUCCCAGGCUGACUUAUCUCACAAGGCCCCCAGUUCUGUGGAGCCUGAGAGCUGCCAGAUGUAGAGCUGCCAGCUCUCAUGGUGUUUGACAGAAGCUGACACAGAUUUACUUUAAGGGGACUCUGAUGCAUCUUUCUUAUUUCUUAAAAUAUCGACCUGAAAACAUGUCUUAAUAGGUUGCUUAUUGUCCACUGUCUUUUUUUCUGUGUAAAUUUGGAAUACCAUUGGAAUGACAGCCCUUCUUGUCAGCCAACAGCUCCAGAGGAGACUUGGACUGGUUAUUUUCCACCCAUCUCCCUUGUGUCUGCUCCUGAGUGAUCAGGCUGAAUGGAGCCCAUGGUCUGCUGCUCAACAGAUGGAAGAAGUGAUUAAUCACACAGUGAAAUAUUUUCAAGACGAGCAUAAAUUGCAGGAGAUUGUAAAACACUCCAGAUGGUCUUGAAUUUUUUGGAAAAGUGGACAAAAACAGCAAAGGAAAUUUUGAGUUGAAUAAACACAGACUAUCCCUAUCACUAAAAAAUAAAUUACACAGUCUAAUGUGAACAUCUAGGAUCUUCAAAAGUCAAGGGUGUAGGCUUAGAGGUGUCUACCUAAGGCAAGCAAAUAGGGUGCUGGUGUACUAGAGAUAAGACGUGUUCUGACAUUUGUACAGAAUGCCCACAUCCUUACUCCUGUUCCCUCAGUUUGGGCCAUAUCAGCUGAAAAACACACAGACCAAAAACGUCUCACAGCUGCAAAGAGAGUAGGGUAUGCUAAGGUUUCCGUGGAGAGAGAUGUUGAAGUCUUCAAAGCGAUAUGCAUGGAGGGAAGUGCUUCAUGCCACAGGGAAAUGAUUUGAAUGAUUCAUCACUGCAAAAAUGGCAGGCCUGGUGAAGCUCUGGGUUUUAUGGAUGAGUGGAUGGUAUUAUAACAUUUAUAGCUAGUGCAAUAAAGAAAUUGUCAUGUGGUAUCCCAGAACAUCAUCUGGUAUCUUGUUGCUCCUUGUCUCAAGCCUAGGCAAACCUUUGUGAUAGCAGCGUCAGCAAUAGCAUCUGCACAAACACAGAUGCAUGACCUUGAGUCAUGCAGUGCAUAAACCCUGUGUUCAGCAAUAAAAUGGAGAAAGCUCGGAAGGAAACUUGCUCUCCUGGACAGCAGAAGCUGCAUGACUAGCUACACAGGUUACAGGGUGUUCUUCUUUAGAUGGUUGAGGUAGUGGCUGUAUGUGGGCAGACUCCAGCAGUGACUUGAUAUAAAUUUAGUGCCUCUGUAGGAGAUCAGGUGAUUUUAUUAUCUUGAUAUAAUUCUCCAUUUUCUUUAGAUGAAUGUUUAUGUCCUUUUGUAUUUUGAUUUGCCUCAGGAUACAGUAGAACAGACCAGAGUACAGUAGAACAGAAUAAUAGUUCAGUUGUAAGGGACCUUCACAGACCAUCUGGUCCAACUGACCGACCAAUUCAAGGCAAACCAAAAGUUAAAGCAUGUUACUGAGGGCAUUAUCCAAAUGCUUCACCAGCGGGCAUGGAGAAUCAACCACUUUAGUAGGAGGCCAGUUCCAGUGUUUGACCACCCCCAUGGUAAUUUUUUUCUAACACCUACUCUGAAGCUCCCCUGGCCCAGCUUUGCUCCAUUCCCACAGGCCCUGUCAUUGGUUACCAGGAAGAAGAGACCAGCACCGCCCUCUCCACUUCCCCUCCUCAGAAGUUGCAGAGAACAAAGCGGUCUCCUCUUGGCCUCCUUUUCUCCAAAUGGGGCAAUCCAAGUGCCCUCAGCUUCUCCUCAUAGAACACACCUUCCAGCCCUGCUGCCAGCUUUGUCGCCUUCCUCUGGACGCUUUCAGGACCUUAACGUCCUCCUUGUAUUGCAGGACCCAGAACUGCACACAGUAGCAAAGGUGAGGCCACACCAGUGUAGUAGGAAAUCACCUUUUUUUUCUGGCUAUCUGUGCUGUGUUUGAUGCACCCCAGUGCAGUUUGUCUUCUCAGCUGCCAGGGCACGCUGCUGGCUCUUGCAGAGCCUGCUGUUGACCAGCCUCGCAGAUUCCUCUCUGCUGAGCUCUCCCCAGCCACUCAUCUCCCAGUCUGUACCUGUGUCUGGCAUUACUCCAUCCCAAGUGCAGAACCUGGCAUUUACCUUUGUUGAACUUCAUGUUGCUGAUGAUUGUGCAGUGCUCAGAUCUAUCUAGAUCCCUCUGCCUCAGGUGACGCCAGUGGCAUGGCACAUUCCAGCAUCUAUAAAACACCAUGCAACUGCUUGAGACUGCAGCUUCACAUUUGUUGAACAGGGACUACGAUUAAGACUGGCUGGUACUGAAAACAAAAACCAGACAGUGGUACAUACCUUUGCAAUGAGCUCCUCGUUCCCAUUCCUCACCUUUUUGGAGUAUAAAAUGUAGUAGAGGGUUUUAUGGCUUAACCUUAAAUAACUGCCAGUUACUUCCAGUAACUGUAUGUCCUGAUUCUGCCAGCUGCAAUGUGACAAAGUAACACCUUGAUGACAGUAAAACUGACAGCUCUGGUUAGUGUGUGUGAUGCAACAGCUAAGAUGCUGACAGAUAACGUUCAAUGGCCAUGAUUUUGUGUUCCCUGAUUUAAUACUCCUAAAUCUGCUUCACCGUCCCCCAGCUGCUCUCCCAGCGGCUCACCAGUGUCUUGUUUUUCAGACAACAAAUGCUGCUCCUCACUUCACUUGUGUUCUCAUCUGAAAGAGAUGGACUGACAGCAAGAAACCCACCUCCAUCUUCCAAGCAGCCGGGCUAAGCAGCAGGCUGUAGCAUUCCUUUCUGAGAUCCAGCUGAAGCGCAGUAGAUUUGAGGGCCCAGUGCAGUGUUUUAAUAUGCGUCUUUAUCCACAGAACUAUGAAUCUUAGCUCACAAUUGAACUGAAAGCACAACCUUUCUCUGCAGGAUGGAGUGCAACAAAUAUUUAACUUUGUUAGUGUACCUUGUGAGCUGGCUGUGCCUAUGUAAUUGCAGUUAAAACCACUGCUGGUAACAAGGAGGUUGGCAUGAUUUAUAUAUGGCAGCACAGACACUUACUAACUUGGGCCAAAAAGCUACCUUGCAGAGCAUGAAGAUUUUCUGGAACAUAAAGACAAGUUUGCUGUAUAUGGAAACUAGGUCCUUAGUGACUGCCUACCAUUACGGUGAAUUUCUGAGCUGGUGAAAAAACAAAAAGAGAUAUUCUUGCAUCAGCCUAAACCAGGCGUCUGUUGGCUUCCCUUCUGCGCAUGCCUGGCACAAACUGAAAUGAGAAUGCCAGUCUGUGACCACUUAUGGACAUCCACCAGAGUUUGUACUGAAUUAAGUUCAAACAGAUCUUGACAAGUGUCUUCUUGAGUAUCUUUUCCCUCCAGAGUGGUGAUUGCCACUGACAGAUGGCAUAAUCUGACUCUGUUUAGCUGAGUCCAUGGCACUCUGUUCACGUGAAUAGGGAUUACUCUAGCAAAGCUGAACUACGUUGGGCUGUUAAACAUGUUGCACAUUUACUCACAUCUCCGGAGCCUGUCAGCUUUGUAUUUUUAAAAAGGACGCUAGCUUCUGCUGGUUUUGAAAGGCUUUGAAACAGCGUCUGAGGAAUGGAUGUGAAAGGCAAGUAGUAGUUACACUAGACUAAUUCCGAUCCCACUGAAAUUGAUGACAUUACCUGUAAAAGCCGCUGGAGCUGAGGCAAGACUUGAGCCCUCAGGAUGUUGGGUUUUUUGAGUACUUAUGAGCAGUGUGAUUGUCAUGCAGAACCACAGCAUUGCUCCAGUGUAUAUGGUGUCAUCUGUGCUAUGCUAAUAAAUUAGCAUCUGCAGCUACCAUCGCUGCCUCUCAGAUCCGGGUACCAAAUAGAGCUGUUUCAUCUCACUGCUGCUAAAGCGUGUCUGCGUGAGCAUGGAAGACGUGUAUUAUCCCAUCUGUUUGUCACAGACCCUCCGUCAGGCUGUCUGCUUCAAGGUAACAGAUCAGGCACAAAAUGAAUUCCUCUGCAGACAAGUGCCUUGAAGGCAUCUCACAUGGUCACAGCAUACAAACAUUUCCUUUAGACGCAUUUUACUCCUUCUGCUCAGGUCAGCUAAGCCCUGUCCACACCAGGGAAAUUGCUAACCUUGGCUCAGCCUCUUUAGUGACAACGGUUGCCCCAGUGUGGACAUGCACUGCGUCCAUUUUCAUUAACAUCUCAAGUCACUUCCCUGGAAGAAGGCCUUCCAAGACAGCGCUUUGAUCAGCAGCAGCUGCUGGCAGGGUCUCUUUGUGAGCUGCCGCUGCCACUUGUCCGGAUGGAGCUGCAGCGGUGCCAGCUGCAGGCAGGCUCCUGGGGCAUGCAGCAGCAGAGGCAGCAAGCAGCAUGGUGUCUGUGCCCAUGGCUGUGCUGGGGAACAGGGACCUCAGCUGCUGCUGCAGCAUGGCCGAGGUGCUGGGCACCGCUCAUCAGCCAAAGCUGCAUCACCUGUGCUCGCACUCAGCUGCUGCUGCCCACC